rnacentral:rRNA from 1 species
AUUGAACGCUGGCGGCAGGCUUAACACAUGCAAGUCGAACGAGUGGCGGACGGGUGAGUAAUGUCUGGGAAACUGCCCGAUGGCGGGGGAUAACUACUGGAAACGGUAGCUAAUACCGCAUACUAUCGGAUGUGCCCAGAUGGGAUUAGCUAGUAGGUGGGGUAACGGCUCACCUAGGCGACGAUCCCUAGCUGGUUUGAGAGGAUGACCAGCCACACUGGAACUGAGACACGGUCCAGACUCCUACGGGAGGCAGCAGUGGGGAAUUUUGGACAAUGGGCGAAAGCCUGAUGCAGCCAUGCCGCGUGUAUGAAGAAGGCCUUCGGGUUGUAAAGUACUUUCGGCGGGGAAGCGUUACCCGCAGAAGAAGCACCGGCUAACUACGUGCCAGCAGCCGCGGUAAUUC